rnacentral:rRNA from 1 species
UACAGAGGGUGCAAGCGUUAAUCGGAGUUACUGGGCGUAAAGGGCGCGUAGGCGGUCAUGUAAGUGAGAUGUGAAAUCCCUGGGCUUAACCUAGGAACUGCAUCUCAUACUGUGUGACUGGAGUAUUGUAGAGGGUAGUGGAAUUUCCGGUGUAGCGGUGAAAUGCGUAGAGAUCGGAAGGAACACCAGUGGCGAAGGCGGCUACCUGGACAAAUACUGACGCUGAGGCGCGAGAGCGUGGGGAGCAAACAGG